ensembl:lncRNA
UCUUUCAGAAUGUGAUACCACCUCAUAUCCUGUUGGGAAGGGGAAGGUAUCUGCACUCAAGGCCAUGAGAGUUGUACCUGGCAAGCUUCUCCACUGUAUUGGAGAGGCAGAAGCCACAGAUUUACAGAUCACCAAAGCAACAAGGACUUUCUUUCUGGCUCUGUACAAUCAGAGGAACUCUGUGACCUUGGAUGCAGCUCGGUAUGACAUAUACCGAAAGCGCAAAAGGCCCCUAGCACUGAAUACACUACCUCCUACAGAGCGUAAUAUAUUAUGUUGUAAUAUGUAAUAUGGAAGACGUGCCCACCUACAGGUGCUCUUAUGGAAAGCAGCAGACCAGGCUGAUCCACCAGCUGUGGAUGUCACUUUGUUUGGAUGGGACAAGAAGAUGGGCCUAAAGGAAGGAGAGGAACUGAUUAUGCCCACCCAGGAUUCAAGUCCAGUUGCUCCUCUGGCUUUGUUAGAUGUCGUUCGAUCUUUUAUGGCCCAGCCCAGUGAUGUCACUCUGGGCUCAUGAGGCACCCACAUGAUUGUCUCGUCCACUCUGUACUCAGUAAUAACCCAUGACUUCUUGUAAAAUCCCCUCUAACAGAACUUCUGCAUUUCUUGAUCUGCUGACACAUCUCAACUGUCUAACUGCCUUUAGCACAGUGCGUUCUGUCCCUGCCUGACAUUUGAUACAGAACACUUCAAAUGUAUCUUACACAUGUGGUUGGUAGUUACGAUGCAUACCGGUGCCCAGCAGCUUUUGAGGUAGUUUAACCGCGUUUAGUGGGUGUGCCAGAGGUGAUACCCAAUCACCAUCAAAGUGUUUACAUUGUGACUCUGGUGACAUCUGUUCACCCUAGCCACCUCACAAGCAGACUGGCCUUCUCAGCUUCACCGCUCACAUGAGGCAACAGGGUGUUUAACCCCAAGGAGUUUAUUGCAAUCGCAAUGCUUUUUCCUCAAAAAAUGCAAAUUUGAAUCAGGAGUCAAGUAUCAGGAGGGGAUUCAGCUUCACUACACCCUGAAAAAAAUGCUUUAACAUUCACAAGAGCACUCAUGAUUCUGAAAUAUAAGAUUAUUGUGUUUACCAUGAAAAUAACCUUAGAUUUCGUCCAAAAUGAAUAACAAAUGUCUCUAAAUGUAUCCAAAUGUGUUAUUCACUUACCAUUUUAAAGUAUGAAAGUGGCAGAAUUUAAUUCAGCAUCCUCUAAAACCUCUAAAAAGACUCCAAUAUUGUAGGAAUUGACUACAUACAGUGCAAAAUAUGUGGUCAAAUUGGACGAUUAAGCUAAUAAUGCUAAUUAUGCAAAUUACUCAACAUAUGCAAAUUAGCAUCCGGCAGUUUCUGUAUACUGGGGACCUAUACUUCACAUUUCUGCAAAAAACGUUGGUGUACUCAACAUUUCCGGGUUCACCUAGUUGGCUACUAGACUAUGUUGUAGGCUAGUGGUCAUCAGCUCGAAGGCGAUGAUGAGCUAUAUGACAAGGCAAAACGUCUGUCUGACCACUACAAUAGGGACAUAGCAAUAACGUUUCCUGCACAACUCCUAUCAUUCAGGGCCUGUUUUAGAGCAGAGAUUGCUCAGCAGUCCUGUCUCCCAACUUGCCAAGAUGGAUUAUCACUCCGACUAUCGUAUCUUCUCAUCACACGAUAAAACAGAGACUUGACAUUGGACAACAAGAUAUAUAUUACCCAGCAAUCAUCAUUGCAUAUCUGUGUAUGACAACAAUACCAAAGAAAAUAAGAAAUUAUUCAUUUAAUUGAACAGUUUUUUUUUAUAGUUUCCAUAGUUUAUGUAGGAUAAUGUAAUUGUGUUAUAGAUUGCUACUGACUAUUUCCCUCCUCCAAAAUAAUGAAAACCAUGACAGAUAGGUUUGCCAUUUCGAGGGAAUAUAUUGCAUAAGGUAUCCUUGACCAUAUAUUAUUAUUUCAUCUUUGAUCAAAGGCGUGUUAACAUAGCGACACUGUUACACACUUCAGAGAAACACAUAGUUGGUGGGUCCGCUUUACGCACAGGCCUCAAUGCAACCGCACUGCCUGCACUGACUAUAGUUAUUUAUAGCAUGUGGUACCAUGAUGAUGUGAAUGCAAAGCAAGCGGAAGUGAGCAGGGGAAGGGCGUAAUGACUAGAAAGACUAAUAGAAAAAAAACACAAAUAUCCGACGAGGCAAAAUCGUAGACGUCGUGACUUCUGAGAUGUCGCAUAUGUUUAUUUAAUUAAAUUGCUUAGAUUCAGCACUUCGUUUUCAGGUAAGGCGCUCUUUACAUCUACAUAGGGAAUGAUAAUAAUAAAAAUACAUUUUAUUUGUAUAGCACCUUUCAUACAAAACAAUGCAGCUCAAAGUGCUUAGCAGCAAAGAAAUUACGUGGAGAGAAAUGACAUGCACAGUGAUCCACAUAAAAAUAGACAUAAAAUAAACAUAAAACAUCAACAUACAAACUGCGAUUAAGUGCAUAAACAUAAAUAAAGUUAACAUACAAACAUAAAGAUAUACAUAAAUUACAUAACAUAAGACAUAUAAUGAAUAAAACUGCGGAGAUAUAGUUUAUCUAUCCCCUUUAAAAUGAUAUAUCAUUAUAGCUAGUCAAAGGCUAAAGUGAAGAGAUACGUUUUUAGCUUUUUUUUUCUUUUUUUUUUAAAUAGCGAGCUAGCUUCCAUGAUAUCUAAAGGCAGUGUGUUCCAUAGCUUUGGGCCGUAAUUGACAAUCCCCGAUUUUCUUAUGGCUGUUGCUGGGAACCUCCAAUAAACCAGCAUUAGAUGAUCGCAAUGUUCUUGAGGGCAAGGGAGUUUGCAAUGUAACUUGGUCCUUUUUUAUUUAUAAAUCUACUUUAGCUAUCUAAGGUGGAAAACGAUGUUUUCGUCAUCUUGUUAAUGUGGGACUUGAAGAUUAGAUCUGAAUCAAAGAUAACACCAAGACUUGUAACCUGGUAGUGAGUUGAAGUGAGUCGAAGCUUGUAUUAACCACUUGAACAACUUCCCGCCUGAGUUCCCUAUCGAAGUGUAAUACAUUUAUGUUAUCGGAGGAGUUAAACAUAGCCUACACAAACACAGAAUACACUUUUACUGUUUAUUACAAGUUAUAGUCAAUACAUAAAACCCAACCACCCAUAUUUACACUACCCCAAACACAACUGAGCCUCUCUAUGGGCGACAUAAACUAGGGGAGGGGACUGGCCAUUAACCCCGGCCUGGGGCUAACUCAAACACGCGAUCACACAAUAGUCCACAGAAGGUUAGGGCUUCUCUUCCUAAAGUGCUGCCAAGCGUUCUCUCCCGCGCCCAGAUUCAGACUGUCUUUUACAUCCUACUCCAGGAACAAUCAUACAUCCUUAACAGGCAACAGGUGUCUCACCCACCUGCAGCCGGUCAUAAUUAAUCCAUUGGCGGGGCGUGCCCACUGCGGCCAGUAAACAGAGUUAAUUAGCCUACAGAAGGCUUGAAGCUUGAAGGAAAAGACGCCACUCGUGACUUUCGAAGCCACGUUUUAGAUUAGAUGAUUAGAUUAGAUUCAACUUUAUUGUCAUUGCACAGAGUGUAACUAUAAAAUAGGGGAUAUGUGAAUGGAAUGAAACGCAAAAGGACUGUAUUACUGGUAAAUGAAAUAGGUGACAAUCGCCACAGGUCUGUCCGGUUAGAACAAGAAUGAUGUCAAUGUCCCAAUGAUGACAGAUGUAAUGAAGUAUUUAUUGCACACACACUCUCAAGCCUUGAAUGGCGGGAUGGACAUGACUGCAUGAAGAUGAACGGUGAAUACGAUUAUCUGUGUAAAGGACUCGUAUUCACACAUGAAUCCGUGAACCGUGAAUGAUAGACAUGAUUCCGUGUUUGAACGAUGAUUGAGUUAUCCGUGGUUUCUAUGGAAUGACACAAUAGGUGGGUUUCCAUCCCAUGUUUUAAUGCGCAUUUUCUCUAUGCGAAUAUUUAAUCCUGGUUGGAAACGCGUGCGAUGCGCAUUAACUUCCCCAAUGCGCAUAGAAAUUCGAUUCGCCAGAGGGAGGUGGUUUAACUAGCUAUUCGAAUGUAGUUAAUGCGCUCAACGUAGAUGGAAACAGUUUAUUCGAGCGAUUCGUGUCAUUUGUGUUUAUGUUUAUGUUCGGAGUUGGACUGUAGACUAUGUCCUGUUGCAGUGAGAGACAACCGUACUGCUGACUGCCCCGAAUGUGAUGCUCCUACUGCUUCUCAGACUGCCAGCUAAUACACCAUACCUCAUGCAGCAUAUGCAGUUGCUGUUAUAUACUAGUAUAAUAUAUCUAUGUUUUCUGUGUGUUGUUUCCCCUCAUUGCCCAUGGACACCUAGUUUAUUGUAGGCUAACCGAUUAACUUGAUUUACGAGCAAACUUUAAAGGGAUAUUGUUUAACUGUAGCCUACCUUUAUUAUUAGGCUAUCAUUAUUAUUAUUAUUAUUAUUAUUAUUAUUAUUAUUAUUAUUAUUAUUAUUAUUAUUACUACUACUACUAUCAUAUCAAAUUAAACAAAUGGUUAAAAAACCUUUAGCUUACCUGAAAAUUCAGGAGGAGGCGAACACAGCAUCGUGCGCGCUACCUGGUGUUCCAACACAGAGAUCUCUAAAUAUCAAUUUAUCAUCAACAAGGGCUUGAAGAGUUGUUGCGGUCAGCAAUCUCUUGCGCCUCGCCAAGGUCGAGUAACUUUGUAUGUUGUUUGGCUUGUUCACGGAUGGCAAAGCAUACAGCAUACACACAUCUAUGGCCAGUAGUCUUGCUUACGCAGUGCCUCACCUCAGAUUGCGCAAUCCCUCACAAACUGGGUUUAGCGCAUGCGUCUCGUAUGUUUUUCUAUACUUAAACACCAGUCUCCGGUUAUCAGUUCAUAUCGACCUCACAAUAUAUAUCUAUAUAUAUUUCAGAUGUGGGUAAAGCUGCUGUGUGUGCCGCCACAACAAAUCGUGCUUUUCAUCAGUGUUUUUAAAGAACCUUUCAGCACUUUGACCGUCUGUUUACCGUGGCUGCGGCAUAGCUGGUGGCAUGGGAGGAAUGAUGCUUUUUCAAGUGCUUGUUCCACUGCUAUUGGUUGCCACAGCAUCAUCUUCAGAAGAUAAAGUGUUUGUCCUGAAAGGAGGGUCCAUCGUGUUGCAGGCGGAGCAAGUGACUAGGGUUUCCUCUAUCAUCUGGAAACACAACAAGGAGAAAGCUGCAGAAUGGUUUGAGGGCGAUGAUGCGCCAACCUAUUAUAACAUAUUUCAAUAUGUAGCUACACUGGAUGAGCAAACCUGGGCCUUGACCAUCUCAGACCUCCAUCCACGUUUUAAUGGGAAAUAUUCAGCUGAGGUGAACAACAAGGACCCAACUCAGUUUGUGACCUUAACUGUACUUGGGCCAGUUUCAAAACCUACAAUCACCAUGGACUGCAUUGAUACCCUCUGCACCCUGACCUGCGAGGGACGGGAAGAUGGAUUCACAACAUACACCUGGGCUAAUGGCAUUGAAGAGUGGCCUGGAUCUGAACUGACUGUGGAGAAGAUAGACCAUGAUGUGGUCCACACCUGUAACUUCAGUAAUCCAGUGAGCUGGGCAUCCAGCAACGGGACAGUCAAACAUGUACCGCCUUCACCAGUUCCAGGACUUGGUCUAGCUAAUGGAGUAAGAAUUGGAGUAGUAAUUGCAGUGUUAAUUAUAGGUUCAUGUAUUCUACUUCAGCUGGUGUUAAAAAAGCAAGGAAACAAAAAUCAACCUGAAGCUAACCAAGAUCCAUCACAUGAUGUUGUGACAGAAGUGCAGAACAGUUGUUUGUAUGUCACGAGAGCAGAAGGAGCGUGAUGGAGGUGAGGAAAAUCAACAACUGCCAAACACUGGUAUGUAAGACGACAAAGGAACCUGAAUAUUUACAUAGUAAUUAUCUAUUACCAUAAGGCAGCUAGAGUUCCUCAUGUACUGUCUUUUUCCUCCCCAUUAGUAAGUUGCAGUGAAGACAUACUAUAUACAGCGUCUUCAGCAUGUCACUAUCUGUGUUUGAAGUCAAAUAAUGUCUCUACAUCAUGUUAGUUUACAAAAAAAGACUGGUGUUGAUAUUUGUUUUGUUUUGUUUUUGUAGUUAAUGUGGGGUUUUCGCUGUCUACAUGGCAAGUUAUUCAAGCAAAUGAAUGCCUAGGUGUUAAUUGGAAAUUUUACAGAAUAUAUUGCCAUUAACAGAAAACACUGUCAGGUGGCACUGUUUAAAGUCUAAAUCAAUGUUUGCAACUUUGGUAGCAUAAUAAUAGUAACAUUGACAACAAAAACAUAUUUGUAAAGGUUUUAAAACUGCAAGUGUAGUGUAUGAAUGAGCCAGUAGAUGGCCAAGUGAAUGUUCUCUGUUCAUUGUGUGAAGAGAUAUUUAGUUUUAUACAUACUGCAAAUGUUCUCUGUUCAUUGUGUGGAGAGAUAUUUCGUUUUAUACGUACUUUGUGAGAAGAGAUAUUUUUAUACAUACUUUGUGAGAGAUAUUUUGUUUUUAUACUUAUUUUGUGAAAAGAAAUAUUUCGUUUUAUACAUACUUUGUGAAAAUAGAUAUUUAGGUUUAUACUUUGCAAGUUUUUUUCUCAUGACUGGAGUGUUUGUACAUUUGAGGCGUAAAAUGAGUCCCACCAUUUACUGUAACAGUCAAGAAUAUUAAUUGUAUUGUAUAUUCUGAUGCACCUCUGUCUUGUGACGUUUGUGUGAGCUGAUGGGCAUUGUUUGCCUCCUGACCCCCCCUCACUCUCCCAUGCCCCUCUCCCUUCUCCUGGGCACAGGUCAUUCUGGGGUCACACCUGGCCACAUUUUAGGGGUGAAAUCUAUUUAGUGAGUAGAGGGCGUCAGCACAUUGGGGGUUGAUAUCAUUUUAAUGGCCUGUGUGAGUAGGCCUAUAAGGGUCACAGUUGUUGAACAAUAAGUUGGAUCUUUAAAAGGUCUCCAGAAACAUGCGGAAAUGUCCUUUAUAAGGUCUCCAUUCCAGUGACACUCCCACCUGGGGUCAAAACAUGUCCUACUCCUUGCCACUCGGAUAAGGAGAUGGCCCCAUUGGUCAAAGGUCCUUAGAUGUGUAAAUAGGUUAUUUAUGCAAAUUUCCAUUUGUCAUGUAAUUUAAGAAUGCAUUUUUUUUUGGUUGUGUAUUAUUACUAGAAGUAUUGAAUCUUUAUGCUUUUAUUUUUGACUUAGCUUAAUCAUUGCGUAAUCAUGUUAGAAAACAUCUUUGAAUUUGCAAUGCGUGAAUUGUGUGAAUGCCUGUAAGUGGCUCCUUUGUGAACUCAGAUACAGUAAAUCCUUGUAGUAAAUUCUAAGAGAGACAUAACAUUAUUAACUAUCACUCUGGUAAUAUCUAGCCACGACUGCAACAGCAGUGGUGAAUAAAUAACUGGAGUCAGAUUGGUCAAGAGAUAGUUUCACCAUCUAAGCAGUCUCACCUGGGCACCGGAUAAGACAGUUAUACAUUGAACCUUUGGCCGUUAGUCUGGUCUCCACACCUGGGCCAACAGCGGCUUCCUCCACAAUAUAACAGAUGGAUUUUUAAAUAUAUAAAUUACUGUAUUACUUUUGGUCAGAAAGUCUUGUCUGAGGCAUGGUAAGAUAUUUUAUUGGGUUACUCACAGUAGACAACAGAUCUGUGUAGUUUAGGUAGACUACAUGAAAGUACAUCAAUGAUACCUACAGUAGGAUGAAAGUUAGAUGAUCAGUUCUUACUGGAAAAAGGGAAAAGGUGCCCCGUUGCUGUUGUUGUUUAAUAUGAUGCUCUAUUUUUGCAUGCUAAAGACACGUUUUCUCACACAAAUACUGCCAUUAUGCCAUUAAGCAUGAGCUCUGUAUUUCUAUGUGUCGUUGCCAGGCAGCUCCCCCAUGCCCUAUAUUUUGUCUUCAUUUAAAGUCUGUGCUAUCAUAGUUAAAAUAUGCAUAGGUGGAACACACAUUAUGUGAGAGCACCAAUGCAGGAAUCAUGUAAAGACCUUUAGGUAUUGAUACAGAAGCGUCACAAUCAUACAUGGUAUCUCCUUCCUCUGUUUUGAUGUGUAUUGCUGUUCAGACUUUUUUUUUUUUUUAAUCUUUUUCUUAAAUCUCUGACGUGGUUUGUCGUUUUUUCACUAUUCUCUUCAGGUGUAUUAGAUUGAAAUGAUACAUUUGAGAAUAGAAAUGAUUGGCAGACUUGCAAUUGUCUGUUGUGUUAAUAAAGCUUUUUUUCAGCACAUCCAUUUCAUCUUUUGUUGGUCUAUUACAUUUUAAAGCAAUGCUUUGUUUAUAGUUUACUUUUACCACAUUUAAAGACUAAAGCUGUUUGGCUGAUCAACACAAGGGGAAAAAAACUCAGCAAUGACUCACCAGUUACAGUGAGCUGAUACAUACGUCAUUAUUUAUUUUAAAUGCAUAAAAGCCACUCCAAUUUGAUUUGAGAUCUGAGAUGGUUAGAGACAACGUUUGCUUGUCAAACUCCGUGUUUAGAAAAAGGCAUUUUGUUUGUUGCUCUUCUUCAUCCCAAUGUGCAAUGAUUGUGUUAUUGUGUGCCCACUGAAUGACCUCCUCGUGUACAUUUGGUACUUCUGCUUGAAGAGUGAUGGAUUGUCCUGUCAUUCCACACACAGGAACAGCAUCUGUAGGAUGAGAGUGAAAUUGAAGAUGAUUCAUUACAUAAAGUAUAUAGAUGAAUACCCACCGGUAAAUAUGUUAACACUACCCAAUGUUUUAAUUGUGUUAUUUUAUUCCACAAAAAUAGUAUUACCUUCUCUAUGAUCUAUUUAAUUACUUCAAAGAAAAGUUAUUAUUAUCUGGUUUCUCUGUGACUUGUAUGUUGAAAACCACCAAAGCCUUGGCUUAAAAGGGUAAGAUGAAGAAAGUCACAACUUAAAGCCGCUUUCCUGAACUUUGGUAGGGAUAGAUUCAAGUAUGCUAUGGAUUCAAGAAACAAAAAUAAUUUGUUGUUUUUACCUUGAGAUGCUAGGGUGCCAGCCAGAAGACAGAGAAUUCCAGCUCCAAUAGCUUUUGGGAGCAUUAUCCCUGUUAGAACAAGUUCAUUGCAGUCACCCAGUCAUACAAAAAGAGGCACAGAUAAAUCACAACUACCUAAAUUCCUGUUACUAUUUCAG